rnacentral:lncRNA from 1 species
CGACCACGAGUAAAUAUCAACGAUAUUCCCCGUCAGGGUUCUAGUGGUCGGUAUUCUUCUCCAACCAUUCCUUCAUGAGCCCCCAUCGAGUCGAUACUCGGGUUCUCUGAAUGGAAAGCUCCUUCUGGAUCAUCGAGUCUCGUAUCUGAUCCCGGAGUAGGGGAAUUUCGUCAUGCAACCGACGGAGAUUACUUCCCAUAGAACGUUGACGAGGACCAACUGCUAUGUUACCGCGAGAACCAGUGGAGAGAGCUGUUGACAAAGAGGACGAGCUAUGCGCUGGACAAUCGAUCCUGGGUAUGAAGGAGAGUGAAGAUACCUCCUCCAAGUCUUAGCCUUAUGAUAAUCAUCGUGCACAGCAGAUAUCGACAAACAAAGGGCACUUCCUAUAAAUAAAUAAAAAGGAGGAGUUCAGAAUGAAGAUCAAGAGAAUAAAAAGAGCAAGUGAUC